UUAAGCUCCUGUUUGUGUUUCUCCUUUAUACUUUACAGCAAAGGAAAAAGCAACAAGAUGUCCAUGACCUUCAUGAAGUACGGAGAGAGAAGAGGCUAUAAAUGCAAUUAGUGCUGCUGCAGACCUCUGACCCUUGAUGUUGGAGUCCUUUAGGUUUCUUAGGUAAAUUUAGCUCUUCCAUGGAACCUGAAACCUUUGGGGAAAAAAGGCUGGAGGAAAACAGAGAUCGUGCAAGGUGAAAGGGUUUCUGAGUGGAGAAUUGAAGCCGCAAACUGCACAUGUCAUCAUCUCUUUAACUCUACAGUGCACUGCUUUGUUGCUCCCUGGAUUCCUGUGAUCUUUGCUUCCAUUUUGCAGAGAUCUAGCUUCU
rnacentral:lncRNA from 1 species